rnacentral:rRNA from 1 species
UUCUUUAUUUUAAAAAUUUUAUUACUUAAGUAGUAUAAAUAUGAAUAUAUUAUAUAAUUCUUUAGUUGUUUGAAACUUAAAAGGCUUGGCGGUGUUAUAUAUCCUACCAGGGGAGCUUGCUUAUUAAUUUGAUAAUCCUCAAUUUAUACUUACUUCUUUUUGAAUUAUAACAGUUUGUGUAUUGCUGUCGUCAGUUUAUUUUGUAAAAAUUUCGGAAAAAACUAAAUAAUUUCAUGGUUGUGAUGUCAAGUCAAAAUGCAGUUUAUGAAGAAGGUUGUAAAGUGAGCUACAAUUUAUAUUUUUUAAUCGGAUCAGGAAGUGUAAUUUUUUUGUGAAGGUGGACUUGGUAGUAAUAAGAGUUUUGUAAAUAGUGAGUUCUUAUGAAUUGGGUUUUAUAAUGCG